UAUUGUGUACUGGGUUUGUCUCCCGUGUUAGUAGACAGGUGUUUAUGACACCCAGUAAGUCCGUGUUGGACAUUUUGGUUUGCCGGUUAGGCAUUAAAUAUCACCGCAUUGAAGCUCUGCUGUUCCUGCGUCUGAUUUCACACCCCACCGACACCCAGGUCGUUACACUCGUCAUCUUCUCGAAUCUGCAGGACAUAAAACAAACAAUAGAGCCUGAGAGGCCAGAAUGACAACCAGUGAGAGAGCCAGGUGUGGGAUCGGAGGACAGAGAAUGCAGGUAUCUUCACAGCACCAGUGAAAGGAGUAUACUACUUCAGAUUCACCAUCAUGGACCGCCGGGGCUCUGCUUUGCUGGGUGUGAACUUGUAUAAAGGUGAGAACUCCACAGCGGCAACAACGAACCCAUUUCCAACACUGUGGUCCUUGACUGGGGGACGUGGUGUACAUGAGUCUCCCUGCAGGCUAUGGACUUCCAGUCACUACACCACCUUCCUGCUCUUCCCUAUGUGAAGUGAAUGCAUUGACCGCUGUAUGAUUUAGCCUACGGGCAUAACCGACAGCUUCUCUGUAUACUGUCAUAACUUGUAACCCUAUAGUGUCUAAUGAAGACACUGUACUUAGUUUUUUCUUCAGCAAAGACCAGAGAUCAUAUGA